GGCGUAGACCCGAAACCAGAUGAUCUAUCCAUGGCCAGGUUGAAGGUGUGGUAACACACACUGGAGGACCGAACCGACUAGUGUUGCAAAAUUAGCGGAUGAGCUGUGGAUAGGGGUGAAAGGCUAAACAAAUCUGGAGAUAGCUGGUUCUCCCCGAAAACUAUUGAGGUAGUGCCUCGUGUAUGACUCCAGGGGGUAGAGCACUGUUAUGGCUAGGGGGACAUGGCGUCUUACCAAACCAUGGCAAACUCCGAAUACUUGGAAGUUUGAGCACGGGAGACAGAGCACCGGGUGCUAACGUCCGGACUCAAGAGGGAAACAACCCAGACCGCCGGCUAAGGUCCCUAAUAUUGACUAAGUGGAAAACGAAGUGGAAAGGCUAAGACAGUCAGGAAGUUGGCUUAGAAGCAGCCAUCCUUCAAAGAAAGCGUAAUAGCUCACUGAUCGAGUCUUUCUGCGCGGAAGAUGUAACGGGGCUAAGUCAAUAACCGAAGCCGCGGAUUCACACUUGUGUGUGAGUGGUAGGGGAGCGUUCUGUAAGCCUGCGAAGGUGACUCGUAAGGGUUGCUGGAGGUAUCAGAAGUGCGAAUGCUGACAUGAGUAACGUUAAAGCGGGUGAAAAGCCCGCUCGCCGUAAGCCCAAGGUUUCCUGCUCUACGUUCAUCGGAGCAGGGUGAGUCGGCCCCUAAGGUGAGGCUGAGAAGCGUAACUGAUGGGAACAAGGUUAAUAUUCCUUGACCACCGCUGAAUGCGAAGGGGGGACGGAGUAUUGAAGAUCAUCCGGGUGUUGGAUAUCCCGGUUUGCGAGCGUAGGAGGCUGACAGGCAAAUCCGUCAGCGAAUCUCCGAGGCGAAGCAUCGAGCUCUCUUUUGAGCGAAGUGAUUGGAUGUGCUUCCAGGAAAAGCCUCUAAGCUCCAGUUCAGCGGGACCGUACCGCAAACCGACACUGGUGGGCGAGCUGAAUAUGCUCAGGCGCUUGAGAGAACUCAGGAGAAGGAACUCGGCAAAUUGACACCGUAACUUCGGGAUAAGGUGUGCCUUUGUAGCGUGGAGGGAGAAACACCCCGAGCGCGAAGAGGUCUCAGAUAAUCGGUGGCUGCGACUGUUUAUUAAAAACACAGCACUCUGCAAAGACGAAAGUCGACGUAUAGGGUGUGAUGCCUGCCCGGUGCUGGAAGAUUAAUUGAUGGGGUGCAAGCUCCUGAUCGAAGUCCCAGUAAACGGCGGCCGUAACUAUAACGGUCCUAAGGUAGCGAAAUUCCUUGUCGGGUAAGUUCCGACCUGCACGAAUGGCGUAAUGAUGGCCAGGCUGUCUCCACCCGAGACUCAGUGAAAUUGAACUCGCUGUGAAGAUGCAGUGUACCCGCGGCAAGACGGAAAGACCCCGUGAACCUUUACUAUAGCUUGACACUGAACACUGGUCCUUGAUGUGUAGGAUAGGUGGGAGGCUUUGAAGCGUGGACGCCAGUCUGCGUGGAGCCAACCUUGAAAUACCACCCUUUAAUGGCUGGUGUUCUAACGUAGACCCGUGAUCCGGGUUGCGGACAGUGUCUGGUGGGUAGUUUGACUGGGGCGGUCUCCUCCCAAAGAGUAACGGAGGAGCACGAAGGUUAGCUAAUCCUGGUCGGACAUCAGGAGGUUAGUGCAAUGGCAUAAGCUAGCUUGACUGCGAGAGUGACGGCUCGAGCAGGUGCGAAAGCAGGUCAUAGUGAUCCGGUGGUUCUGAAUGGAAGGGCCAUCGCUCAACGGAUAAAAGGUACUCCGGGGAUAACAGGCUGAUACCGCCCAAGAGUUCAUAUCGACGGCGGUGUUUGGCACCUCGAUGUCGGCUCAUCUCAUCCUGGGGCUGUAGCCGGUCCCAAGGGUAUGGCUGUUCGCCAUUUAAAGAGGUACGUGAGCUGGGUUUAAAACGUCGUGAGACAGUUUUGUCCCUAUCUGCCGUGGGCGCUGGAAGAUUGACGGGGGCUGCUCCUAGUACGAGAGGACCGGAGUGGACUCACCUCUGGUGUACCGGUUGUCACGCCAGUGGCAUCGCCGGGUAGCUAUGUGGGGAAGAGAUAACCGCUGAAAGCAUCUAAGCGGGAAACUUGCCUGAAGAUAAGUCUUCCUGGAGGCUAGACCUCCCUAAAGAGUCGUUCGAGACCAGGACGUUGAUAGGAUGGGUGUGUAAGUGCUGUGAGGCACUCAGCUAACCAUUACUAAUUGCUCGUGAAGCUUGAUCC
rnacentral:rRNA from 1 species